GAUCAUGGCUCAGGAUGAACGCUGGCGGCGUGCUUAACACAUGCAAGUCGAACGAAGCACUUUGGACAGAUUCUUCGGAUGAAGUCCUUAGUGACUGAGUGGCGGACGGGUGAGUAACGCGUGGGUAACCUGCCUCAUACAGGGGGAUAACAGUUAGAAAUGGCUGCUAAUACCGCAUAAGCGCACAGUACCGCAUGGUACGGUGUGAAAAACUCCGGUGGUAUGAGAUGGACCCGCG
rnacentral:rRNA from 1 species